rnacentral:rRNA from 1 species
UGUGUAGGCGGCUGGAUAAGUCUGGCGUGAAAUCUUCACCGCUUAACGGGAAGGGGUCGCUGGAAACUGUUCAGCUUGAGUAUGGUAGAGGCAAACGGAAUUCCUGGUGUAGCGGUGGAGUGUGUAGAUAUCAGGAAGAACACCGGUGGCGAAGGCGGUUUGCUGGGCCAUCACUGACGCUGAGACACGAAAGCGUGGGGAGCAAACG